CGGGGCGUGGCGCAGCCUGGUAGCGCGCCUGCUUUGGGAGCAGGAUGUCGCAGGUUCGAAUCCUGUCGCCCCGACCA
rnacentral:tRNA from 2 species